AUGGCCGCCCGCAACUCAUCCGCGUUCGCCUCCGACCCGGUCCACCAGGCUGCCAUGGCCGUCCCCAAGUCGCCCGUGCUAGCCGCCGACCCGCUCUACCAGGCCGCCGAGUCGGGGGGGAUUGACGGCGUUCCUGGAGCGCUCCCGACCGAGCAAGGGGUGCCACCCCCGCCGCUGCAAGGCACGCCUGUGAUGAAGAUGGCCCCGCAGCAGGGCGCCUACAUGGCGGCGCAGACGCCCCCGCAAGGCUCCCCCGUGACGCAUCCGGUGAUGCAAGGGGCAAACACGGUGGUGCCGAUUUCCCUGCGGGAGCCGGUCAUUACCGUGCCCCCGCAAGGCAGACCUGUGAUGGCACCUCUACCUUUCCCUGCCGUUCCUCCAUCCUUCAUCCAUGAUGCCGGAUACAUGAUGGGGCAAUCACUGUUGCCGGCCGGCCCUCAACCCAUGGCGGGGCUGCAGCCUCCACCUGCCGGAUACAUGAUGGGGCACCCGCUGUUGCGUGCAAGCCCUUUACCGAUGACGGCGCUGCAUCUCCCACAGGCCGUACACAUGAUGGCACGGCCGCCUUUGCCCGCUGGCCCCCCUCCUCUCAAGCGUCACCGCCCUGACUACUUCGACAUGCCUUUUGGACCGCGGAUGACUGGUUGUGAGCAGGAAAUGGCUGGAUUUGAUGAAUCAAUGGGACUGCCUUAUGGGCCUUACAUAAACAAUGAGAUGCCUUCUAUUGGUUCUUAUGAACCAUAUCUUCCUUCAGACGCAUCAAACACCCUACAUGUUGAAGGUUUCCCGCCCAACUGUACUAGACGGGAACUUGCACAUAUAUUUCGCCCUUUUACUGGGUUCUGUGCAGUAAGGCUGGUCAACACAGGAUAUAAUAGUCGACAUGUAAUAGCUUAUGCUGACUUUGAAACUCCUGCCCAAGCCUUCUCUGCCAUGAAGUCUCUGCAAGGCUAUUUGUUUGACAUGCAUGACCGAUACUCAGUCAAAUUGGACCUCCAGUUCCUUCCUGGUCUGUCCAAGAUCUGCUGCCUUUUGUAG
rnacentral:rRNA from 1 species